rnacentral:rRNA from 1 species
CACGUAGGGGGCGAGCGUUGUCCGGAUUUAUUGGGCGUAAAGAGCUCGUAGGUGGCUCGGUAAGUCGGGUGUGAAAUUUCGAGGCUCAACCUCGAGACGCCACCUGAUACUGCUGUGGCUAGAGUCCGGUAGGGGAGCGUGGAAUUCCUGGUGUAGCGGUGAAAUGCGCAGAUAUCAGGAGGAACACCGGUGGCGAAGGCGGGUCUCUGGGCCGAUACUGACGCUGAGGAGCGAAAGCGUGGGGAGCGAACAGG